UACGUAGGGUGCGAGCGUUAAUCGGAAUUACUGGGCGUAAAGCGUGCGCAGGCGGCUUUGCAAGACAGAUGUGAAAUCCCCGGGCUCAACCUGGGAAUUGCGAUGGAGACUGCAAGGCUUGAAUCUGGCAGAGGGGGAUGGAAUUCCGCGUGUAGCAGUGAAAUGCGUAGAUAUGCGGAGGAACACCAAUGGCGAAGGCAAUCCCCUGGGCCUGUACUGACGCUCAUGCACGAAAGCGUGGGGAGCAAACAGG
rnacentral:rRNA from 1 species